GUUUCGUUCAGGAUUUGAAAUUUUCCUAAGUUCUCUGUUUGGUGACAUGUAUUAACAGAGGUAGACUAUAAGGUUCCACCAUUCUUGAUUGAAAAUAGAUAUUAUAUUUAUCGAAUUGAAUAUGUGAUUGGAUGUAAUCAUUGGAUAUUCUAAACCUUUCUAAUCAAUGGUAAUCACUCCUACUAUAAGAACUGAUUCCAAACCCCUGAUGAAGUCCUAACGGACGAAACGCGUUGGGUUUUGCAACGUCUGGUUAACAAAGUCCUUAUCACAAGCAUCUGGUUGGAGAUACAUCCAUUUCGAGUUCCGACUUUGAUCACCUGGCUGUAAAAUCCUCACAUCCAACUGUAAUUUAUGUAUAAGAUUGUAAUAUUGUUUUAUAUGAAUUUUUAGAAGGUUGUGUCAAUAACGAACGCUUAGGAUAAAUAUCGUUUGU